UGUGCGUGUAUAAUGAAGAAGGGAGAGAGAAGAGGCACAACAAGAACGGGGAUCAGGCGACAUUGAGGACGGGGACGGCCCUAGGGGGCGGUGUGACGGGGCGUCGCCGGCCCUAGGCCGCUCCCCACACCGAACAGUCUGAGACAAUGGUAUUGGUGUGGAGUAUGAAGGAAAAAACAUGAUAUCAACUUGAGAUUUAAGGCAUACUUUGAUUCUUUGCCAUAAAUAUUUGAUACAGCUUUGGAAUUGAAGCAAUCAUGGCUUUAGAUCCAAGGAACACUCUUGCUAUAAGAGAUGGUUUAAGCAAAGGAGCUGGCGCCAGACUUACGCUACGGAAAUUCCUUUCGGACCUAUAGAUUAUUUGCUGGGGUGUGAAUGAGGUGUUCAACCAUAUUUUCAAGGGAUGUGUGUAGGUGGCGGGGAGAUAACAACGGUGUCUCUACGGUAGCGUCAGUUAAAAAAUGAUUACAUAACCCUGACCCGGUUCAGAGUAAUAAAAUUCUGGAAUUGAGCUGGUGGGUUCCGCUGAAGAUAAAAUACAUUUGGAUGGAGAACUAUUCUUUGUCGCCUCCCCACCUCAGACGCCUUGAUCUGUAUACAUGAUAUAUAAAGAUAUGCAUUUGUUUUUGGUUUUACAGUUACGUUGAUAUUAAUUUACAACUAGGUAGACUAACUAUAUUUCAGUUGACUAUAUUUCAGUGGGGACUGGAGAGGAGAGGAGCCACAGGAUGGGGCGGGGUCGAACAUGGACAGCUUGAAGUCUGCAAUCUCCUUAUAUAAUUUUAAGAACGGGUCAGAUGUGUGCAGGUGAUGGGGAGAUAACAAUGGUGUCUUUACGGUAGCGUCAGUUAAAAAAUGCUUACAUAACCCUGACCCGGUUCAGAGUAAUAAAAUUCUGGAAUGGAGCUCGUGGGUUCCGCAACCCGCUGAAGAUAAAUACAUUUGGAUGGAGAACUAUUCUUUGUUGCCUCCCCACCUCAGACGCCUUGAUAAAAAGAAAUAUUAUUCAUGGGCCUUUAGCUUGUUAUUUGUGUUGGUCGGAAGAGGAAACCGUGGAUCACCUAUUCACGGGUUGUUUGCUUGCGACUUUACCCAAAUAUACGCCUUCUCGACAAGCGAUCUGCUGCAAGUUCAAAAGUACAUUCCGGGGAGCGAGACGAAAAAAAAGAUGGUGCAUGCGGUGAUUUUAAUUAGCUGCUGGAGUCAUUGGAGACCUCGGAAUAAGUAUGUUUUCGCUAACGAACCUGUGGCGGUAAGUAACUUUAUUGGCGAAGUAAAAUCGUUGGGUUUCUUGUGGGUGAAAAGUAGAGCUAAGGGGUGACAUUGUAUUGGGAUGGAUGGAAAAAAUUCAAUAUGUAAUCUGGUUCUUUUUCUGUUCUAUUGUUCCUGCUCCCUAGCUCCUUGCUAGGGGGUUUUCGGUGUUGUGGUUAUUGAAAGUUGCCGUUCGAAAAAGAAAAAAAGUAGACCAACUAUAUCGCUACUA